rnacentral:rRNA from 1 species
UACGGAGGGUGCGAGCGUUAAUCGGAAUUACUGGGCGUAAAGGGUGCGUAGGUGGUAUAUUAAGUUAUCUGUGAAAUACCUGGGCUCAACCUGGGCAGGUCAGAUAAUACUGAUGUACUCGAGUAUGGGAGAGGGUAGUGGAAUUUCCGGUGUAGCGGUGAAAUGCGUAGAGAUCGGAAGGAACACCGGUGGCGAAGGCGGCUACCUGGCCUAAUACUGACACUGAGGCACGAAAGCGUGGGGAGCAAACAGG